rnacentral:rRNA from 1 species
CGGGACGGGUGAGUAAUGUCUGGGAAACUGCCUGAUGGAGGGGGAUAACUACUGGAAACGGUAGCUAAUACCGCAUAACGCCGCAAGACCAAAGAGGGGGACCUUCGGGCCUCUUGCCAUCGGAUGUGCCCAGAUGGGAUUAGCUAGUAGGUGGGGUAACGGCUCACCUAGGCGACGAUCCCUAGCUGGUCUGAGAGGAUGACCAGCCACACUGGAACUGAGGCACGGUCCAG